GGCUCAGGAUGAACGCUAGCUACAGGCUUAACACAUGCAAGUCGAGGGGCAGCGCAGUGUAGCAAUACAUGGGCGGCGACCGGCGCACGGGUGCGUAACGCGUAUCCAACCUUCCCGUUACUCAGGGAUAGCCUUCCGAAAGGGAGAUUAAUACCUGAUGGUGUUCAAAUUCCGCAUGUUAUUUGAACUAAAGAUUCAUCGGUAACGGAUGGGGAUGCGUGACAUUAGAUAGAUGGCGGGGUAACGGCCCACCAUGUCCACGAUGUCUAGGGGUUCUGAGAGGAAGGUCCCCCACACUGGAACUGAGACACGGUCCAGACUCCUACGGGAGGCAGCAGUGAGGAAUAUUGGUCAAUGGUCGAGAGACUGAACCAGCCAAGUAGCGUGAAGGAUGAAGGUUCUAUGGAUUGUAAACUUCUUUUAUGUGGGAAUAAAGUCAGGGACGUGUCCCUGUUUGCAUGUACCACAGGAAUAAGGACCGGCUAAUUCCGUG
rnacentral:rRNA from 1 species